CUGCCUGAAUAAAGGUUUGUACUUAGCGAAACGCUGGACCAGCUUUCUCGUCCGUGCUUCCCGUGUCGCCUGCCCGCCACCGCUGAGCUGAAAUCACUCGAGACCGUCUGAAGCUGCUCACACGCGCUUCGGCCCAGUCCUUUUCAGGGCUGCCUCUAGAGAAGUCGCGGUGCUCCGGGCUUUCCGUCGCUGCGGCAACUGGACACGGAGCAUUGCUUCAAGGAGGUGCCGAGGGACAAACCUUUGUGUCUGGAAGCAGCAUCUGAGCAGGGUCAAAUACGAGUGGCAAAUCAACGUUGGCAGGGAUCUGCCGGAGGAGAGGAGUUUCUGGUGGGCUCCCAGUGGCAUCUGAUGGAGUGAUGGUGAGAGCAUCUCAUAGGGUCUGGGGGAGCACCUGGAUGCACUUGGACCCGGAGCACCGCUUAAAGGAGGUGUCCCUCCCCGGUGCCCUCAAUCUGUCACAAGAAUUCCAAGAAAAAAAAAGGCUGAGCAAACAGUGAAAAGAAGGGGUAUAGGUAAGGUGGAGUUCAGGUGUACCCCACCCCAAACCCUAAACAGCAGCCCUAACAGUGCCACCAUUUCCCUGAGGCAGCUGCAGGCAGGAACCCUAAAGCAGGAGAGUUCCAGAACCCUCGAGAGCUGCAGGCAGUUCCCUGGUGCUAGGGCCAGCCAGGAGAUAGUGGGGGGACGAUCCGUAGGGUUGGGGAAACAGGGGGUUUCCCGCCCCGCCCCACCCUGGGCUCUCGGUCCCUCCGCAGCCGGGGAUUGCUCCCACCCCUCCUCGAGGCGGCGGUUGGCAGGGCUUCGUGCCUGGCCUCCGCAAAGAGUUCGGCUCUGUCAGCCUCUGCCCUGUCUCAGGGCCAAACUUAGGUAGGGUAGGGAGCAACUGUGGAUUGCCUGGUCCGGGCUAAUGGACAUCUCUUGGGGCCUAUGGAUAAGGAGCAUCCCCGGUUGCAAGUGUAGGGUUCUAACUAAGUUUGUAGGGUUCAGCGGGGGAGCUUGGCAGUGACACAGAGAGGUUGAGGGAGGGCUUCAGAGGUCGAGGGCUGGAGACAAACAGUGAAAAUAAAAGGGGUACAGGUUGGGAUAUAAGGUAGAGUACAGGACUAUUCAAACCCUAAACAGCAGCCCUAACAGCGCUCCCGUUUCCCUGAGACAGCUGCAGGCAGGAACCCUAAAGCAGCAGAGUGCCAGAACCCCCGAGAGCUGCAGGCAGUACCCCUGGUGCUAGGGCCAGCCAGGAAGAGAUAGUGGGUGCUAGGGCCUACUGCUGUCAUAUAAGCUGGGGUUUCCAUCCUUGGGGUACCCUGGGCUCCCUGUCCCUCACUGACUGGAGAGUCUUCCUCCCCUCCUUGAGGUGGUGGUAAUUUGGCUGUGUCAGCCAAUAGUGCUGUGAAGCAAGCCUCUGCCUCCCUGUGGGGUGAAGUCUGCAGCCCAUGAACCUGGGCAUUCUCUAGAGAAGGUAAGUGCUGGGUUUUCACAGAUGUGCCGCUAAGAUCCUGCAUUGAUAUUUGGUCUUCUAGAUUGUAGCUGA